rnacentral:rRNA from 1 species
UGGGGAAUAUUGGACAAUGGGCGCAAGCCUGAUCCAGCAAUACCGCGUGUGUGAAGAAGGCCCGAGGGUUGUAAAGCACUUUUCAGCGGGGAGGAAAAAGGCGGGCCUAACACGCCCGCCCUUGACAUUACCCGCACAAGAAGCACCGGCUAACUCCGUGCCAGCAGCCGCGGUAAUACGGAGGGUGCGAGCGUUAAUCGGAAUUACUGGGCGUAAAGCGUGCGUAGGCGGCCCGUCAAGUCAGAUGUGAAAGCCCCGGGCUCAACCUGGGAACGGCAUUUGAAACGGGCGGGCUGGAGUUGGGUAGAGGGGAGCGGAAUUCCGGGUGUAGCGGUGAAAUGCGUAGAUAUGCGGAGGAACACCGAUGGCGAAGGCAAUCCCCUGGACCUGUACUGACGCUCAUGCACGAAAGCGUGGGGAGCAAACAGGAUUAGAUACCCAUGUAGUCCCUGAGCGGGCUGGCAAGGCGCAU